rnacentral:tRNA from 1 species
GAAGGUAUAGCUCAGUGGUAGAGUGUGUGCUUAGCAUGCAAGAGGUCCUGGGUUCAAUCCCCAGUACCUCCA